rnacentral:rRNA from 1 species
ACGGGACCGCACAAGCGGUGGAUGAUGUGGAUUAAUUCGAUGACAACGCGAAAACCUUACCUACCCUUGACAUGUCCGGAAUCCCGAAGAGAUUUGGGAGUGCUCGCAAGAGAACCGGAACACAGGUGCUGCAUGGCUGUCGUCAGCUCGUGUCGUGAGAUGUUGGGUUAAGUCCCGCAACGAGCGCAACCCUUGUCAUUAGUUGCCAUCAUUUGGUUGGGCACUCUAAUGAGACUGCCGGUGACAAACCGGAGGAAGGUGGGGAUGACGUCAAGUCCUCAUGGCCCUUAUGGGUAGGGCUUCACACGUCAUACAAUGGUCGGUACAGAGGGUUGCCAACCCGCGAGGGGGAGCUAAUCCCACAAAGCCGAUCGUAGUCCGGAUCGCAGUCUGCAACUCGACUGCGUGAAGUCGGAAUCGCUAGUAAUCGUGGAUCAGCAUGUCACGGUGAAUACGUUCCCGGGUCUU